rnacentral:rRNA from 1 species
ACGUAGGGGGCAAGCGUUAUCCGGAUUUACUGGGUGUAAAGGGAGCGUAGACGGUGUGGCAAGUCUGAUGUGAAAGGCAUGGGCUCAACCCGUGGACUGCAUUGGAAACUGUCAUACUUGAGUGCCGGAGGGGUAAGCGGAAUUCCUAGUGUAGCGGUGAAAUGCGUAGAUAUUAGGAGGAACACCAGUGGCGAAGGCGGCUUACUGGACGGUAACUGACGUUGAGGCUCGAAAGCGUGGGGAGCAAACAG